UAUGUGAUCGUCUCUCGCAUAUCAAUAAGCGGAGGAAAAGAAACUAGCAAGGAUUCCCUUAGUAACGGCGAGUGAAGCGGGAAGAGCUCAAAUUUGAAAUCUUCAAGGUUUUACCUUGACGAAUUGUAGUUUAAAGAAGUGUUUUCUGUUGAAGUUUUGGUAAAAGUUCUUUGGAAUAGGACAUCAUAGAGGGUGAGAAUCCCGUAUUUGACCAUUAUUUUCAGCUGUGUGAUACACUUUCAAAGAGUCGGAUUGUUUGGGAAUGCAGUCCAAAAUGGGUGGUAAAUUUCAUCUAAAGCUAAAUAUUGGCGAGAGACCGAUAGCGAACAAGUACCGUGAGGGAAAGAUGAAAAGAACUUUGAAAAGAGAGUUAAACAGUACGUGAAAUUGUCAAAAGGGACGCGUUUGACACCAGUGUUGUUUUCUCGAAAAUCAAUUAAAAAGAGUUUGAUUUUGUUGUGUAUUGACCUUAACAGCUUGCAUUUCAAUUUUCUUGCUUUUUUUAAUGCACUUUUCGUUUAACAAGUCAACAUCAGUUUCUUUUGUUGUAAAAAGGUCAUUGGAAGGUGGCUUUCUUUUCGGAGAAAGUGUUUAUAGCCUUUGACUCCUGCAAUCGGAGAGACUGAGGUCUGCAGCGUAGAUCCUUCGGGGUUAGAUACAUUUGUGCUAAGUUAUAGCUUUUAUAGACAACUUGUUGACUAUGAUUAGUCUUGUAGCUUACUCGCUUAUGCUAUUUUACCUACGCUUAGGAUGUUGAAGAUGUAGCACAUCAU
rnacentral:rRNA from 1 species